rnacentral:lncRNA from 1 species
CUGGCCCAACACGCAAGCCAGUGUAGAUUCAGAAGCUCCCGGGAGCGAGUGCGAGGGCGUGUCAGGGAGGAAAGGCGGCAGAUGUUGGCACUUGUGAGAGUGGAUUGCUUACCAGCCUAUCAUGGUAUCCACAUUAAUGUGUCCUUCCCAAAAAUCUCACAGCUUGUUCAUUAAGUGGAUAAAAUUUCAAUAACAAUAUAAUCUGUACUUUUGCAAAUUAGCCAUUAACCACCUACUUUCUCACCAAUUACUCAAUAUUUUUUAUCUUCCUCUAAAUGUUACUGACCUAAAAAAAAAUUCUGAUGAAAGGCUGUGGAAAUUGUAAACCCCGAAGCAAGUAUUAAAUUGGUCCAUGCUGUGUCCUGUGCUGACAAAUUGUUAUACUGUAGAGCCUGACGACCCAUGAGCGUCUCACUUAGAGGCAUGGAUGUAGCAGCAGUGUUAUAAGACACUGGAGCAGCAGUGUCUACACUUGAGUUAAUUCCUUUAAAACAACAACCAACCUGCCCAGCUUCCCCAAAGCCCCCCAAACCUAUUAAAUAGAAAUAUCUUUCCUUCUGUACUCCAGAGCUGAUGUGAGGGUGACUGCAUCUCCUGGGGAGUCGUGUUACAGAAAUCUCUUCCUUAUAACCAGCUUCUUCUGCAUUCAGGUUUCUCUUUAUGUUGUGAAGAUCCAUGCAUUUGCAUGGAAUCUUCUUCUUCAUCUGCCUCACCCCUUCUUCCUCAGCCCAUAACAGGCCCUGGUGCACUGGACCUUAUUGGUUGCGUUAAGGAGGGCUUACAGUGAAGAACAUGAUACUGUAUGUCAAACUCUGCCAAAGGAGAGGAAACUGAACCCCCUGACAUCUUCUAAGCCAUGGAAUUGACUACGCUAAGGAACAAUGGAAAUGGAAUGUUAUGGCAAAAGUAAUUUGGCACUUGGGAAAGGUUACCAUUGUUUUGAGAAGUGAUCUGUUUGAUGUGAC